rnacentral:rRNA from 1 species
AUUGAACGCUGGCGGCAGGCCUAACACAUGCAAGUCGAACGGUAGCACAGAGAGCUUGCUCUCGGGAGACGAGUGGCGGACGGGUGAGUAAUGUCUGGGAAACUGCCCGAUGGAGGGGGAUAACUACUGGAAACGGUAGCUAAUACCGCAUAAUGUCGCAAGACCAAAGAGGGGGACCUUCGGGCCUCUUGCCAUCGGAUGUGCCCAGAUGGGAUUAGCUUGUUGGUGAGGUAAUGGCUCACCAAGGCGACGAUCCCUAGCUGGUCUGAGAGGAUGACCAGCCACACUGGAACUGAGACACGGUCCAGACUCCUACGGGAGGCAGCAGUGGGGAAUAUUGCACAAUGGGCGCAAGCCUGAUGCAGCCAUGCCGCGUGUGUGAAGAAGGCCUUCGGGUUGUAAAGCACUUUCAGCGGGGAGGAAGGCAAUGCGGUUAAUAACCGUGUUGAUUGACGUUACCCGCAGAAGAAGCACCGGCUAACUCCGUG